rnacentral:lncRNA from 1 species
UAAGUGAGCACUACUCCUCAAUCCUGUUCCACUCACCUGGCCCAGCCAGGUCUCUGCUAUAGCCACCCAGGUGCUGUUGCCACCUUAUGUUUGGAGGCAUCAGGUAACAUGCUCUCCUCUCCCCCACUCUUCCCCUCCCUACCUCCCUGGCCACUCCCUCUGGCACCUAGACUUGAAGCAGCCUUGGCAGCCACAAGAGUAGCUGUCGCUGGCACCUCACACAGCCAUGGUCAAAAACUUCAGCUUGGAGAACCACCACAUCAAGAGCUUCAAGAACAAGGGCCGCAAUGUGGAAACAAUGUGAAGACACAGAAAUGAAGUGACAGUUGAACUGCUGAAGAACAAAAGAGUGGAACAUUUACUGAAAAAGAUAAGUGUUCCCCAAGAAGAAAGUUUAGAAGACUCAGAUGUUGAUGCUGAUUUUAAAGCACAAAAUACAACACUAGAAGCUAUACUGUAGAAUGCCACAAGUGAUAACCCAUUGUUAUGAGUCCUGCCCAGGCAGCAAGAAAACUAUUAUCAACUGACAGAAACCCACCAAUUGAUGACCUCAUAAAAUCUGGAAUUUUAACAAUUGUAGUCAAAUGUCUAGAAAGAGAUGAUAAUCCUUCGUUAAGUUUGAAGCUGCUUGGGCACUAAUAUAGCAUCAGGAGCUUCUGCAGACCCAAGUAUUGUAUAGUCUAAUGCAGUACCUCUUUUUCUGAGACUUCUUCAUUCACCACAUCAUAAUGUUUGUGAACAAGCAGUGUGGGCUUUGGGAAACAUAGGUGAUUGUCCUCAGUGUAGAGAUUAUGUCAUCACUGGGACUUAUCAAACCUCUUCUGUCCUUCAUCAAUCCCUCCAUUCCCAUUACCUUCCUUCAGAAUGUCUUGUGGAUCAUUGCCAAUCUCUACAGGAAUAAGGACCCCCUACCACCUAUG